GACAGAGGGGGCAAGCGUUGCUCGGAAUUACUGGGCGUAAAGGGCGCGUAGGCGGGAUGGCAAGUCGGUCGUGAAAUCCCUCGGCUCAACCGAGGAACGUCGAUCGAUACUGCUGUUCUUGAGGAUUGCAGAGGAGACUGGAAUUCCCGGUGUAGCGGUGAAAUGUGUAGAGAUCGGGGAGGAACGACCGGUGGCGAAGGCGGGUCUCUGGGCAA
rnacentral:rRNA from 1 species